rnacentral:rRNA from 1 species
CCCUUAGAUGUUCUGGACUGCACGCGCGCUACACUGACGCACGCAACAGGUGCCUGCUCCGAGAGGACUGGGUAAUCAUUUGAGUGUGCGUCGUGAUGGGGAUAGAAUAUUGUAAUUAUUACUCUUCAACGAGGAAUUCCUAGUAAGCGCAAGUCAGCAGCUUGCGCUGAUUACGUCCCUGCCCUUUGUACACACCGCCCGUCGCUCCUACCGAUGGGUGAUCCGGUGAAUGAUUCGGACUUCAGCGGCUCCUCUGGGGUGCGCCGGAGAAAGUUUUGUGAACCUUAUCACUUGGAGGAAGGAGAAGUCGUAACA